UACGGAGGAUGCAAGCGUUAUCCGGAUUUAUUAGGUAUAAAGGGUGCGUAGGCGGACCUGUAAGUCAGUGGUGAAAUACUAUGGCUUAACUAUAGAACUGCCAUUGAUACUGUAGGUCUUGAGUACAAUUGAGGUAGGCGGAAUGUGUGGUGUAGCGGUGAAAUGCUUAGAUAUCACACAGAACACCGAUUGCGAAGGCAGCUUACUAAACUGUAACUGACGCUGAUGCACGAAAGCAUGGGGAGCAAACAGGAUUAGAUACCCUGGUAGUCCAUGCCGUAAACGAUGAUCACUCGCUGUAUGUCCAUUAGGAUAUGUGGCUGAGCUAACGCAUUAAGUGAUCCACCUGGGGAGUACGGCGGCAACGCUGAA
rnacentral:rRNA from 1 species